CAAAGUCCUUCGAUAGUCGAAAGAAUCGACGUGUUUUACGUUCCAAACAAAGGUCGUAGGUUAGAAUCUUGCGCAAAACACAUAAUGAAUAACGCAUGAUGCGACUGACGUAUAAAUGUCAGUCUUUUUUUACGCAUAGCGAUACUAAUCUGCUGAUCAAUAUUUGUUAUCGGUCAUACUCGUGCAUCUAUGAAUAUUAAACAUAAACAUAAAAUAUGAAUUAUCGCAAAAUACAAGUGUUCGCAAUUACGGCGUUGUUUAUAACCGCGAUCGUUAAGCGUGAAAACGUUAAAUCAACGAGCAAUCGUCGCCUGUGUAUUCGUUCGGCACGAAAUUCAAAAUCGUAACGCAACGAAUCUUAAUCGAUUUAAUCAGGAAACGAUAUUUUAAUUAGAGAAUAAUUUAAUUAAACGGAAGAGGUUUGAAAGACCGAAACAAAUAAACAGUUUUUAUCGGGUGCGUAACAUCUGCGACUAAUUUAUUAAGAGAAGAAUGAAACAGCGAAGAAGCACAUUUAAUACACAGCGGAUGAAACGAUAAAAUCGAAGGAAGCAACAGAUAGUCCUUGUACUGUGUGUGAAUAAUCUUGGAAGCUCGAUAAAUUUUUCCAACCAAAAAGAGCGUUCUAUGUUUUACGCAACAAAGCUCGAGGAGACCUCACGACCUGACAAAACGUUGCAUAAACUUUUGGAGCUUCGCAUAAGAAAUUUUUCUCUUACGUUUUAUUGCAAAAGGAAAGUGGAUCGUCGUAAAUCGUUGCUUGAACUUGUACAGCGACAAUCGUGCGUGCCCUACCUCCUAUUUCUUUUCAGCGUAGGUCGUGCGGUUGCGGUUGAUGCAAAGAUUUUGUAGAUCAGUUUUCGAGGCAGAGCUCUGAACGUCGAGCAAGACCAAAUGUACCUAACGAUGUCUUUAUUACGAAGAUCCGAACCGUCCAACUACACGCUAGGUCCUUGUCGAUCGAAGCUUGCAAGAGUAUCGAGGAAUAUUUCGGUGGAUUCUUUGAAACACGAAAGGUUUAAAAAGGCGCAUGGACUUGACGACCCGGUAUGCGAACGACGUCGGUGAAAAUGAGGUUGCAGGUAGAGCGUUAAGCGCGUGUUUAAGAAUCUUCGAUGCUUAUGCAGACACUAAACUCGUCCAAGUACGUAGCCACAUCGUCGAGUUACGUUUUAAUUCUACGGCCAACGACGAACGCGACAAUUUUACUAAAUUUCCUCAUCUCGACCGUACGAUAUCGAUUUGAUCCGCAACGUGGAAACGUUCUCCGAUGUACCAAAUUGUCUACGGCAUUGGCCGUAGUUGGUGGAAUCGUGAAAGGCUGAAAACUGCGGUCACUUUGGGUCAACGUCCGCUGGUAUCAAUUCUUUUCACGGCGCAAGGUUCGUGACUCGAUAAAGCGUUCAGCACUGAGAAGCAAGGUUGGCAGAAAACCGCUGCAGCAACGUGCGUUUCUCUUUCAAAAUCGAAGAGGGAGACGAUGGAAAGGAGCGCGGCGUGUACCGACGUACACGCGGCCGGAACAGGAGGCUGUCGAAGAGAGGGAAAGAGAGAGAGAGAGAAAGAAAGAGAAAGAGGAGGGAGAAAGGGGGAGAGGGAGAGAAAGGAAGAGAGAAAGAGAGAAGGGUAGAAAGCGGUCCCGCCCGAUUCGUACACCUAACCAUGGAGAUACGCGUCUGAUUCGUCGGUCGCAAUUGGUGGAGGCGGUACAGACAGGUAUCCAUAUCCGGUAUGGGUUGGGUUACCGUUACUCUCCGGUUCACCCUCAUCCUCUUCAUCGUCUUUCUGAUACAAACGUACCUACCGUCGACAGGUCUCGGACGAUAUACGCCCCGUUCGCCUUCGAUUCGCUUCAAUUUCGUUUCCCAACAAAUACGAUGUUGGUCGAUCGUGGGCAUUGCCAUUCGUUCGUUUCCAACGAUCACGAAUACGCCUGUCAUCGGACCGGUUUACGCGUGGCUGAUACCCGAAAACGUGCAUACGCGUGUGCCUGGAUCGAUUACGCUUGAAAUUUCUCGCGCUGGCGAUUUUCUUAUUCCGCGUUCGGGGUCCCGUGGCGAACGGAUAUCUCUUUGCUCGCAUCGAUUUUUAUUCUUCGUAGAUAGUUUUCUAAUUUGAGUUGCAUUCGUCUUUUUUUUUCUUUUUUCUUCUUUUUUUCUUCUUUAGGACGAUGAGAGUGUCCCUGACAUUCGAGUCGCGGUAGAAACGAAUUAUGCACUUGCGCGCCGUUCUUAUCGCGGCAUUCGCGUUUCGAUGAAGCGGGUCCGAGCGCGUUGAAUUUCUUAUCUUUUGGGACGAUCGAUCGAAUCACAGAGAAUCGACAUGGGGAAAGUAACUAACGGAAAGCUUAAUGGGAAGAAUGAUUUUGUGGAAUGGUAGUUUAAUUUAAUUUACAUAGAUACGCAUAAAUAUAUUUUGCAUCUAAUUAUGUGGAUUUCAAGACGUUCGUUCUCUUGGCUCGCUUACGCCAGUUGCUCCGUUUGUCUUGGAUUCCUUGACUCUUCGUUUCGGAGUAACGAACGAUACAUGUAAUUUGUAAAAGAAAAGAAGAAACAGAAAGCACAGAGGCAUAUCGGUGUUUGGAGAUAAUUAAUUUGAACGAUAUCUCAUCUUUAAUUUUCAUAAUUUUGAAAACUUGCGCGACAAACAAUCCAAACAUAACGUAGUCAGGUACUCGCGUAUUUAUGACCUGCUAAGCUUCGCCAAAGUAUAGAAAAUCUUCCCGAUCCCAGUAACAAAUGACAUUUCUAAUUUUCGUCAUCAAAUAAAAUGAUUAUUAUUCUUCAUUCAUGAUGUUUACACGAAUAAUCCAUUCAAUGAAAAUUCAUUAGCCAAAUUGUCCCUGUUUUUUGCUUGGGAAAUUGGAAGGACAAUUGCCCGGGUGACCACUGAAUACGAGCAAGGUACAAUAGCGUGUUACAUAGAUCAGUCCUAUACACGACAUUCACUAGCAAAUUUGUUGUCUGCAUCGUCGUUAAAAUCCUUUUUGUUCUUCCUUACCGCGCCCUUUUCUCUCACCUUCUCUUUGUUCCGCGCUUUUGUCCGACUCGUGACUUUAGAAACGUUAGGUCGACCGAAUGUCGCUUGCGAUCGUCGUAGACGUUUGUCGCUACCCUUCAUCGAACAGUUCGACGAAUAUUCUCAAAUUCUAUCGUUUGCGAAUAUAUCGCUACGUGCGCUUGUCAAAUAAAUUCUCUCGCGGACAGUUUCAAUUCU